rnacentral:rRNA from 1 species
CCUACGGGAGGCAGCAGUGGGGAAUAUUGCACAAUGGGCGCAAGCCUGAUGCAGCGACGCCGCGUGAGGGAUGACGGCCUUCGGGUUGUAAACCUCUUUCAGUAGGGAAGAAGCGAAAGUGACGGUACCUGCAGAAGAAGCGCCGGCUAACUACGUGCCAGCAGCCGCGGUAAUACGUAGGGCGCAAGCGUUAUCCGGAAUUAUUGGGCGUAAAGAGCUCGUAGGCGGUUUGUCGCGUCUGCCGUGAAAGUCCGGGGCUCAACUCCGGAUCUGCGGUGGGUACGGGCAGACUAGAGUGAUGUAGGGGAGACUGGAAUUCCUGGUGUAGCGGUGAAAUGCGCAGAUAUCAGGAGGAACACCGAUGGCGAAGGCAGGUCUCUGGGCAUUAACUGACGCUGAGGAGCGAAAGCAUGGGGAGCGAACAGGAUUAGAUACCCUGGUAGUCCAUGCCGUAAACGUUGGGCACUAGGUGUGGGGGACAUUCCACGUUUUCCGCGCCGUAGCUAACGCAUUAAGUGCCCCGCCUGGGGAGUACGGCCGCAAGGCUAAAACUUAAUGAAUUGACGG